GCAUAUCAAUAAGCGGAGGAAAAGAAACCAACAGGGAUUGCCUCAGUAACGGCGAGUGAAGCGGCAACAGCUCAAAUUUGAAAUCUGGCUCACGCCCGAGUUGUAAUUUGUAGAGGAUGUUUCGGGUGAAGCCACGGUCCAAGUCCCUUGGAACAGGACGUCAUAGAGGGUGAGAACCCCGUACCUGGCCGUCGGUGCCCCCCGCUGUGAAACUCCUUCGACGAGUCGAGUUGUUUGGGAAUGCAGCUCUAAAUUGGUGGUAAAUUCCAUCUAAAGCUAAAUACCGGCCAGAGACCGAUAGCGCACAAGUAGAGUGAUCGAAAGAUGAAAAGCACUUUGAAAAGAGAGUUAAAAAGUACGUGAAAUUGUUGAAAGGGAAGCGCUUGCGGCCAGACUUGCCCGCGGUUGCUCAGCCCGCCUUUUGGCGGGUGCACUCUUCCGCGGUCAGGCCAGCAUCGGUUUGGGCGGCCGGAUAAAGACGCCGGGAACGUGGCCUCCCCUCGGGGAGGUGUUAUAGCCCGGCGUGCAAUGCGACCAGCCCGGACCGAGGUUCGCGCUCUGCUAGGAUGCUGGCGUAAUGGCCGUAAGCGGCCCGUCUUGAAACACGGACCAAGGAGUCUAACAUCUAUGCGAGUGUUUGGGUGUCAAACCCGUGCGCGUAAUGAAAGUGAACGGAGGUGGGAACCCGCAAGGGCGCACCAUCGACCGAUCCUGAUGUCUUCGGAAGGAUUUGAGUAAGAGCAUAGCUGUUGGGACCCGAAAGAUGGUGAACUAUGCGUGAAUAGGGUGAAGCCAGAGGAAACUCUGGUGGAGGCUCGCAGCGGGUUCUGACGUGCAAAUCGAUCGUCAAAUUUGCGUAAUAGGGGCGAAAGACUAAUCGAACCAUUUAGUAGCUGGUUCUGCGA
rnacentral:rRNA from 1 species